rnacentral:rRNA from 1 species
GACGAACGCUGGCGGCGUGCUUAACACAUGCAAGUCGAACGGAAAGGCCCUUCGGGGUACUCGAGUGGCGAACGGGUGAGUAACACGUGGGUGAUCUGCCCUGCACUUUGGGAUAAGCCUGGGAAACUGGGUCUAAUACCGAAUAGGACCACGCGCUUCAUGGUGUGUGGUGGAAAGCUUUUGCGGUGUGGGAUGGGCCCGCGGCCCAUCAGCUUGUUGGUGGGGUAAUGGCCUACCAAGGCGACGACGGGUAGCCGGCCUGAGAGGGUGACCGGCCACACUGGGACUGAGAUACGGCCCAGACUCCUACGGGAGGCAGCAGUGGGGAAUAUUGCACAGUGGGCGCAAGCCUGAUGCAGCGACGCCGCGUGAGGGAUGACGGCCUUCGGGUUGUAAACCUCUUUCAAUAGGGACGAAGCGCAAGUGACGGUACCUAUAGAAGAAGCACCGGCCAACUACGUG